UACUACCGAAGCUACGGCAUCAGUAAUGAUGGGUAGGGGAGCUUCCCAUACGGGUUGAAGCAUGACCGUAAGGACAUGUGGACAGUAUGGGAGUGAGAAUGUUGGCAUGAGUAGCGAGAUGUGGGUGAGAAUCCCACAGGCCGUAAACCCAAGGUUUCCAGGGGAAGGUUCGUCCGCCCUGGGUUAGUCGGGACCUAAGCUGAGGCCGAAAGGCGUAGGUGAUGGACAACAGGUUGAUAUUCCUGUACUACCGAUAACCGUUUGAGAGAAGGGAUGACACAGUAGGAUAAGCUAAGCACACUGUUGGUUAUGUGUGCCCAAGCAUUGAGGCAGUCAAAGUAGGCAAAUCCGCUUUGAUAAUGCUGGGAUGGGAUGGGGAGCGAAAUUUAGUAGCGAAGUAGCUGAUUUCACACUGUCAAGAAAAGUCUCUAUCGAGGUUAAAGGUACCCGUACCGCAAACCGACACAGGUGGGUGAGGAGAGUAUCCUAAGGCCAGCGAGAGAACUGUUGUUAAGGAACUCGGCAAAAUGACCCCGUAACUUAGGGAUAAGGGGUGCCACCAUCAGGUGGCCGCAGAGAAUAGGCCCAAGCGACUGUUUACCAAAAACAUAGGUUUCUGCUAAGUCGCAAGACGAUGUAUAGGAGCUGACGCCUGCCCGGUGCUGGAAGGUUAAGGGGA
rnacentral:rRNA from 1 species